CGGGCGGCAGCGGCGCGAGCGUGUAGAACGGCGCGUGGCUCGGGAAGGAGGGCGCCGGCUGCAGCCUGUAGUAGCGCCCGUGUGUCUCAGCUCCCCCCUUAGUGUCAGCCCAGCCCGGGGGGGUGCGAGCAGCAUGAGAGUAGUGGCCUUAAUCAGUGGUGGAAAGGACAGCUGUUACAAUAUGAUGCAGUGUGUUGCUGCUGGGCAUCAGAUUGUUGCUCUAGCCAACUUAAGACCUGCUGAAAACACAGAAGGGACAGAUGAGCUGGACAGCUACAUGUAUCAGACAGUAGGACAUCAUGCCAUAGACCUGUAUGCUGAAGCAAUGGAUUUGCCUCUCUAUCGUCACACCAUAAAGGGUACUAGUGUGGACACUGGAAGAGUGUAUACCAAGUGUGAAGGAGAUGAGGUCGAAGAUCUUUAUCACCUUUUGAAACUUGUUAAGGACAAGGAAGGAGUGGAAGGUGUCUCUGUAGGAGCCAUUCUUUCUGACUAUCAACGAGUUCGAGUGGAAGAUGUGUGUAAGAGGCUUAAUCUGCAGCCUUUAGCUUACCUUUGGCGUCGAAACCAGGAAGCUUUGCUCAAAGAAAUGAUAACAUCUAACAUUCAAGCCAUCAUCAUAAAAGUAGCAGCUUUUGGUUUAGAUCCAGAUAAACAUCUAGGAAAAACAUUGGAUCAAAUGGAGCCUUAUCUUUUGGAGCUCUCUAAGAAGUAUGAAGUUCAUGUUUGUGGAGAAGGUGGGGAAUAUGAAACAUUCACUUUGGACUGUCCUCUGUUUAAGAAGAAAAUAGUUGUGGACUCAUCCCAAGUAGUUGUACAUUCAGCUGAUGCAUUUGCACCUGUGGCUUACCUCCGCUUUUUAAAAUUACACUUAGAAGAUAAGGUGGAAACUUCAGACAAGUUUAUGAUCCGUAGCUGUUCUUGUGAGGUAAGCUGUAAUGAGGUUAGUAUGCCACCUGUAUCUGAGGCAGAUGGACCACAGAAAACCCCUCCUAUCAUCUGGAAAUCAUUGGAACAUACUUCUCUGCAAUACAGUAAGCCAUUAGAAUGUUCUGGAAAAUCCCUAAGUGGUUACCAGUGGGUUUCAGGCAUCACUGCCCGCUUCCUUCCACUAGAAGGAAGGAGUAUUCAACAUGCAGCUCAGGAAGCGUUCUCUUCCCUCCAAGCUAAUAUGAAUUCAAAGGGAUUGGAAUUGAAAGAUAUUAUUUUGGUCCAUCUGUAUAUGAAGAACAUGAAAGAUUUUGCUGUUAUAAAUUCAGCUUAUAUGACAGAGUUUGAUUUGUGUCCACCGGCAAGAGUAUGUGUAGAAGCCCCAUUGCUUGAUGGAGUACUCUUUUGGAUGGAUUGCCUUGCACAUAAGUGUGACGUUACCAUCGGUGAUGUGCACUGUUAUCAAAAACAGAUCAUGCAUGUACAGAGCAUUUCUCACUGGGCACCUGCUAACAUAGGACCUUAUAGUCAGUCCAUCAAGAUUGGAGAAGUUCUAUACUGUGCUGGACAGAUUGCAUUAGUACCUUGUACCAUGCAGCUUGUAGGUGGUGGCAUACAAACGGAGGCUACAGUUUCCCUAAGCCAUGUCGAGAAAGUCCUUAAAGCUAUGAGCCACAACAUUGAACUCCACCACAUCCUUAUGGCAAAUUGUUAUGUAACUGACAGCAAGUACAUUCCUGUCGCUCGCGCUAUAUGGCAAAAGAAAUUAAGCGAACUUAAAAAGGCAGAAGAUCCAGAGAUGUACAGUGAUCUAGCUGCAGUCUGUGGAACUCUAACUGUGGUCGUGGUUCCCCACCUACCCAGAGAUGCACUCAUUGAGUGGCAUGUCACUGCAGUAGUGGAUGAUCCACCAAAAAGGAAAACUUUUGUGAUGAAGAUGUUGUCAGAGGGCUGCCAAAUUGUAUGUGAAGCUGUGGAGUCCAGUUCUGCAUCUAGUGCAUCUAUCUCAAUAUGCCUAAGCUUAAUUUCACCAUCUGCUUCGUCAGUCGAUUUAGUUAGGACUCUUCAUGAUAUGGUUGCUGUGUUUAGACAAGCUGUCGAGAAACUUUCAGAAGAUUGCAGUGCAAUUCCAUUGUGUUUUAGAACUUUCUACAGGAAGGAUAGUUUUGAUGCUGGAACACUACAAGCAGCACUGUAGGUGCAUCUGGCACAUUGAUAUUAGAGCUUUGUGAAACAUUCCUAUCAAACCUCAAUGUCCGUGUACCUGGGGAGAGGAUAUCAGACAGCAGAGGAAUUCAUAGAACUCCAUUCAAGCUCUUCCUCCUACAGCCAGCCUCAUUCUCUUUCUCAAGCCAGUCUAUCAUAGGAAUUAGAGACGGCAAAGACCUGUUAAGUCAACUAGUCUAAUUCUCCGCCAAUGUAGGAACGUUCUCUAUAGUAUAUCAUUCAGUACUUUGUCAACUCUAAUUUUAAAUGUCCCAUGUGACUUGGUUUCUUCCUCCACAUACUAGUAGAUCUCUUUGUCAGGAUGUUUUUCUUGAUAUUCACAUCCUUUCACUUAUUUCAUCCCAUUUCUCUAACUUUUAUGCACACCCUGUACUAUCCUAUGUUAUUCCUCUCCUUGUUUGUCUCUUUCAGCAUUUCUGCUUCCUGUGCCUCACACUACUGUGUGGUCUUGUGUUUAGUGUGGCAGCAGCAGGAAUGGAAAAGUGUUUCCUUUCCCUCCUGCCCUUGAGGGAGGGCUCAGGUCACUUGCUGACCCACUCCUCCCUAGAAGGGGCGGGGCAGUGGCCUGGUCUUACAGUUAUACCACCACACCCCCACAAAAAUACAAGAGGAGAGAAGCUUCUACAUGGCACCCUCUUUAAGAUCUAUGGAUAAGGACCACUGCCUCUGAAAACAUCAUCAGAGGAUGUUCUUAGGCUAUAUCUUGGUGCAUAACAUUGAAAUUGUACAACUCUACAUAAGUGUAAGUGCUAUUACUAAUUUUGUCUGUAAGAGGGACAGAGCUAGGGCCCCAAAGGAGGAGGGAGGGAAGAGAGAUUCUCUCAGAGGUUUGAGUUAGUCACAAUCAAACCUUCAAAUGAACAGAACGGGGUUGGUUCCCUCCCAUCCCCUUGUGACUUGAAUUACAGGGUUGAAUAAGUGAAAAUGAUCAUAAACCAAACCCUGCAGAGUCUGCAAAGCACUAAUUAACACCCCCAGUCAGUAACUUCUCAGAAACUGGUCUUUAAGCAAACUUUACUCUAAAAAACAAAACAAAUUAAUUUGGCGGCCUGAUAAAAGAGAUGCAUUGCCAAAGCUGACAGGCCCACAAUUGAACCAACUCUAAAAAUAACUUUUUUUCUGUUCAAUGUCUUUAAGAUGCUGAAAAAUUUAUAAGCUACAAAAAAUUCCACUUUCUCAGCCAAGUGACUCAGCUCUAGGAAAGCAAGAUUCUUGUAAAUGUUCACACCCGCCCCAUCCUUGAGCAUGCCCCCUUCCCACCUACCCCCAUCUCAGCAGAAUGGAAAGGAAGUUGGUCAGACUGGAGGCCACCUUUAAGGUCCUUCAGCGCUGGAGGGCAGUGAUGCCCUCUGAUGUUGGCCCUUGUCCCACCCCACUGUUUUGUGGAUGGAUAUGGAGCCCAUGCAGGGUGGGUAGGAUGAAAUCCUCAGCUAUUCAGUGGACAUUUUGGAGGACGGGGAGUCAUUUGUCUCUCUGUGCCACCUCCCCUUCUCUGCAUAAAGCCCUUGUGGUCCGAUAUAAUAAUAAAUAUGUGCAUUUUGGUAGUGCCCAAAAAGGGCACAGUGACAAUUGUGGCCCCAUCAGGCGCAGUGUUUACAAACAGAAAUAGAGACAAUCCUUUUGAACUGGUAAUAAGUUGAAUCACUAGUGCAGCAGCUCUGAGAAUUUUCCCUGGUCCUUCCUGUCCAAAGUUUAUUCUCAUCUGCCAUAUGAUUAUGUGAAAAGGAGAUCAUCAACUGAAACAGGUUUAACAGGUAAAACUUUGUAGCAGCAAGAAUCCACACAAGUGGGAUGGGUCCAUAGACAAGAAAUAAAUAAAAAUGUGAUGAGACAAUUUUUCAAAGGCACAAUAUUAAAGGCUACAUAUUUGCACUCAUGAAAACAGACAGAUGCAUCUCUAAAUGGCUAUUUUGGCAUCUGCCCGGCUAUUUGUACUGGUACAGACCCAUUUCCACAUAUAAUCACGGUAACUGUAUCUGCAGUUGUAGCUUUACUUUUUUGCAUGUGCAUUUUUGUAAAUAGACCUGACACUUCUGAAAAUGUAUCAUGUAUGAAAUGUUAGUGUAGAAAAACAUUAUAGCAAUUUUGAAGCAACUUGUGAAAUCUUCACAACAUAGAUUGGAUUUUUAAGUUAGGUGGCAAGUGGAUUGAUGCUUUUACUUUAGGCAUCCUACUCUUAAAUCCUAAUUUAGUGUAGCUCCCACUAAAAAUGAGUUUGCAGCCUCACCCUAAUCCCUGGUGGACAUUUGUCACACUUACCACCACAUCAGAAAACCACCUAACAAUUCAGCAUGAUUGGUAGCCUCUGAUCUAGAACAGAGCCCCAGGCAGGGAACACCAAGGUGGUUGAAGUUCAGAAUUGAAGUGCAUUAGCUGUACGGUAUGGAGAAGCUUGCACAGCACCUAGAAACCUCCACUGUGCCAAACCUGCCCCACUCAUGAGUGCCAAAUAUACACAUUAAAAUAUGUAAAGCAGUUUGAUGUAAAAUUAUAGUUUUAAUAAUAAUAAUCACAUAUACAGUGCUUUACAAACCAUUAUUAACCACUGAACUCCCAUGAGAGGUAAGUAAAUCAGCAUUAGCUUCAUGUUACAGAUGAGAACCAGACAAAGAGACCUUGUGACUUGCACAAGGGCCGAGGAUAAUUGAUAUUAUAAUCGGGAUAAGAAAUCAGUAGUUACUGGCACCCAGGCCUGUGCUAAAAUCACCUUUUUGCAUGUGUAACAAUUGUCAGAUCCUGUUUUCUCCUAGUAUUUGUUUCAAAGUUCCUGAUUGCAAAAUCUUAUGAUCCCAACUUUAAGAGCCUGAAAUAAAAAUAUAAUAACAUAUAGUAAUGUAUUUAUGGCCACAUUUUCCAUCCACCUGCAGGGUGCUUAGUCCUUUUGAACACUUUGCUUAGGUACCAAAAUGGGAGCAAAGCUUUUUUGAAAAUCUGCCCCCAGCUGUCGGGAGCUUAGCACUUUUGAAAAUCUGGCCCAUAUACUUUUCAAGGGGAAUGUCCAAUAUGACUGAUUUUAAAAAUAUCAUUAGGACAGUGAAGGAAGAGAUAAUAAAGGAGCUAAUGAAAAGCUAAGUAUCAAAGUAUAUCAAAUGUCCAGAUUUUUCCUUAGAAAACUAGAAUUUUGCAGGAGAAAAUCACUGCAGAUCAUCCUUUAGGAAACAGUUUACUUUUAUUUCAUUUUUAUUUUUCCAUCAGAUUUUUCUUUCAAGGUGUUUUUAUUUAAUAGGCUCAGUGCUUAUUCUGAGCAAGUGGAUUUUAGCCAGAAUAAAGCAAGUAGAUUGUACACAUUUUGUUUUGAAAUUCUGCAUUUACCCAAAACACAUUGUAUUAUUCUAAGAACAAACUUGGGGAAAAAAAUUAAUUGAUUUCUCUGGCACAUAGGCCUGGUACAAAACAGCAGUAAAACCAGUUAAUUUUCUGAAAUGUAUUUUCCUUCCCUGCUACUGUUAACCAUAAAGACAGUCACUUGGAUCUUUUUUUAAAGGCAUCAAGCUUCCUCAUGUUUCAGCUUUUCAUUGCACUGCCUGAUCAUUUAGGGAACAGGCUUGUUCCAGACAGCUUUAAUUAAACUGUGCUGUGAAACCAGAUAUAGAUCAAUGGAAAUGAUCCAUAACAAGAGGCUAAUCAUGUAUUUAACAGUGUUCAGUCCAGUUCAAUCACCUUCUACCAUUUCUGUGGCUUUACAUUCAUGUGGCGAAGACUGAAUGUGUGUAUGUAUUUUUUUUUUUUAAUCCAUCCCAUUAGUGGCCAUAUGCUUUGGCUUCAAGGGAGACAAGAACUGUCUGCAAUCUGCCAGGGAUUUAGGGACAUCAAUAAUUUUUGAAUAGUCAUGUUGGUACUGGUCGAAGGGUUAAGUGCCCUGUGCACCAGGGGUACAUCUUGUGGGACUGGAACUCAUAGUCAACUGUUAGGAACCUGAUCCCCUCUGAGGCUUCUCUUCGAAGUACAUGCUUCACGUCAAAUCCAUACAGCUGAAGCAAUGGAGCUUUAUUAGCUCAGGGAUUUAAAGACCUGAACUAAGUGAUGUAACAAUAUCUUUUUGAUUACAAAGUGAAGGAAAAGUGUAGUUGUAACAUCAAAUAGAUUGUUAUGUUCUGGGUGAAACACAUGCUCUUUCUGCUACCCUUUUCCAUUUCAACGCAGGCUAGUUCUCGCCCAUAAUCAGCUGGUGGAGAGUGCUUACCACUACAAGUAUCAGGAUAAUGGCCCUGGUUUUGCAAGCAUUGCCCAUGUGAGCAGUCUCAUUGGCUUCAGCUCAUACAAGACUGCAAGAUUACCUAGAAGAUCAGUUGAGGGAGAAGACUCCAGCUCUGAUUCUGGUACCUGUAGUGGA